CGUGCAGUACACAGCGCGGCAAUUGAGUGGAUUGCAUUGAAAGAUAUUAAAACCGUUAAAAGUUACUCACACAGACGCACAGACAAAGCCAACGGUCGGUGGCAUUUUAGCCGUUUGCUUGUCGAAACGUGUUUAGUAUAUUUUCAAAUACGAACGCGUCGAGUUCGAGUGAAUUUCAAUUUGACGUCAGCGACGUGCGGUAAAAAGUCAAGAUUAAUUUUUAUUAAAAAAACAAUUACUUUUAUAAAUUUAAAUAAAAUUAUGAAAAUAAAUACUUAAAAAAGUAUUUUAUUGAAUUUUUAAUGGUUUUAAAAUAAAUUACGAUAACAAAAAACAAAUAAAUUUUACUACUUUCGCUUAAAAAUAAAGAAAACAAAGUGCUUAAAAGAUUUUUAGUGGAAUUUUACUGAAUUUAUUCACAGUUUGGCUAAAAGCUAAAAUACCAAAAGGAAAAACAAAUUUACAAAAAAAAUUCAAAAAAAACUGUGGCAGUGUGUCACGCUUGGAAUUUUUCACGUGCUGAAUUCAUUGAUUUGUAUAAAAUAUUCAACACCAACGCAAUUCGGGCAUACAUAAUAAAUUAAAUUGCUAAAAAUAUUGAAUUUUUUUUUAGUAGAAAAACGUAAUCAAAUCCAUUAGUCACAAAUACCAAGAAAUAAGUCAAAAAAAUUUACUCAAACCGAAAAGUAAAUCGAAAAACUGAGACACUAAAUUACAAAAUUGUAAUUUUAAUAGUGAAAAGAAAAAAGUAAAAAAGUAAAGGAAUUACAAAAACAAUAACACAACUUUUAGAUAAUUUAUGAGUGAAAAAUAGUGACGUAAUAUUGCGAAAUAAAUAACUAAAAUAGAAAUCGAUAACAAACAAAGCGAAACCAAAGAGCAAAAUAAAUCGCAUGAAGUGUCAACAAAAGUAAAAAGCAAAAAUAAACUUAAAAAUAUCUCAACUUCAACAAAAAAAA